GCGUCCGUUAUUGGGGAGUAGCCGGCUUUUGUCUUUGACAUUAGCGCCUGCAUCAACAUACUCGCCGGGCUUUACGUCUGGCGUGGUGUAGGCAGCCCUAUCGGGUAGGCGAGACCAUUAGCAUUCCGAACGUGCGGUAAGGUUGGGCCACGUUUGGUUUUGCUAUUGGCUUU
rnacentral:sRNA from 2 species